CUACAGUCCAUAGAAGGUGCUAGACCUGUACGGGUGAUGAAGCGUUCAAUAGGUUACUCCAUGGAGUCGGGUUGCCUGAGAUCGCAGCCCAAAGUGGGUGGUAAACCUCAUCUAAGGCUAAAUAUGGCCACGAGACCGAUAGCAAACAAGUACCGUGAGGGAAAGUUGCAAAGAACUUUGAAGAGAGAGUUCAAGAGGGCGUGAAACCGCUGAGGUGGAAGCGGAUAGAGUUAACGAAACUUGGCGACAUUCAACCAGUUGUCUUAGCGGCCUUGCGGUUUUGUGCCUCGAUCGAGGGCAAAAACGUGAUCAGCUGCCGGGUUCUUGAUUGGUGUAUUUGUCGUCGGUAUGCGCCGAAGGGUUUGUUGUGAUGCGCCGACGCUUGUGUAGUGGACCAUUCCUUUCGGGGAGUGGAACCCUGCGUGAGCUGAGGCUUAUUGGCGAUAAACUUUUACGCUUGGUGUUCUCCGCUCCAUCGGGCGCGGUCUUUGCUGUGCUGCUGGCGCCGUCGUUGGGCGGUCGCAUGCGACUUGCCUACGGCUGUAGUUGGUGAACAGCAUUUGAGUGCCGCGUUGAGACACUUUCGUUCGGUGUGAAAGUUAACCACCUAUCCGACCCGUCUUGAAACACGGACCAAGGAGUCUAGCAUAUGCGCAAGUCAUUGGGUGGAAAACCUAAAGGCGUAAUGAAAGUAAAGGUUGCCUUGAUGCGGCUGAUAUGGGAUCCCUGUGGUUUGACGGCCAGAGGGCGCACCAUAGCCCCGUCCCCGUUGCUUGCAAUAGGGCGGAGAGUGAGCGCAUACGCUGGGACCCGAAAGAUGGUGAACUAUGCCUGAGCAGGAUGAAGCCAGAGGAAACUCUGGUGGAGGUCCGAAGCGGUUCUGACGUGCAAAUCGAUCGUCUGAC
rnacentral:rRNA from 1 species